rnacentral:tRNA from 1 species
GCAGGCGUAGUUUAAAGAGAACGUUAGUUUUGUAAACUGACAGAAAUAAUUUUAAUUAUUUGCCUGUU